rnacentral:rRNA from 1 species
AUUGAACGCUGGCGGCAGGCCUAACACAUGCAAGUCGAACGGUAACAGGAAACAGCUUGCUGUUUCGCUGACGAGUGGCGGACGGGUGAGUAAUGUCUGGGAAACUGCCUGAUGGAGGGGGAUAACUACUGGAAACGGUAGCUAAUACCGCAUAACGUCGCAAGACCAAAGAGGGGGACCCUCGGGCCUCUUGCCAUCGGAUGUGCCCAGAUGGGAUUAGCUUGUUGGUGGGGUAACGGCUCACCAAGGCGACGAUCCCUAGCUGGUCUGAGAGGAUGACCAGCCACACUGGAACUGAGACACGGUCCAGACUCCUACGGGAGGCAGCAGUGGGGAAUAUUGCACAAUGGGCGCAAGCCUGAUGCAGCCAUGCCGCGUGUUUGAAGAAGGCCUUCGGGUUGUAAAGUACUUUCAGCGGGGAGGAAGGGAGUAAAGUUAAUACCUUUGCUCAUUGACGUUACCCGCAGAAGAAGCACCGGCUAACUCCGUG